rfam:Schistosoma margrebowiei strain Zambia genome assembly, scaffold: SMRZ_scaffold0000161
AUCCAGUUGACAAGUCCCAAAUAGAACGCAACGCACGUCCUGGAU